CGCUGGGUAGAGCAGUUGGCAGCUCGUCGGGCUCAUAACCCGGAGGCCGCAGGUUCAAGUCCUGCCCCAGCUA
rnacentral:tRNA from 2 species